rnacentral:rRNA from 1 species
GACGAACGCUGGCGGCGUGCUUAACACAUGCAAGUCGAACGGGGAACGAGGGAGCUUGCUCCCUCCGGAUCAGUGGCGAACGGGUGAGUAACACGUGAGCAAUCUGCCUCGAACUCUGGGAUAAUCGUUGGAAACGACGUCUAAUACCGAAUACGACGCGGGAGGGCAUUCUCUCCGCGUGGAAAUAACUUCGUGUCGGGAUGAGCUCGCGGCCUAUCAGCUUUUUGUUGAGGUAACGGCUCACCAAGGCGACGACGGGUAGCCGGCCUGAGGGGGGGACCGGCCACACUGGGACUGAGACACGGCCCAGCCUCCUACGGGAGGCAGCAGUGGGGAAUAUUGCACAAUGGGCGGAAGCCUGAUGCAGCAACGCCGCGUGAGGGACGACGGCCUUCGGGUUGUAAACCUCUUUUAGCAGGGAAGAAGCGAAAGUGACGGUACCUGCAGAAAAAGCACCGGCUAACUACGUG